rnacentral:lncRNA from 1 species
AAAAAAAGUAAUUAUUCUCUUCAUUUUUAAAGAAAAGGCUAAACCUCUCUCUCUCUCUCUCUCUUACACACUCAUCUUCUGACGCCGGCCUAGCUCCGGCCACGGGUACCGGUGGGGUUCCGGCACCGUCGCCAUCGUCAGCCACCGUGCGCGGUGGCCGGAAACCCUAAAGCGACCCCCUUUUUAACUGCUUUAACCCCGGGUAACUUCGAUCUACCCUAAAAACUGGCUAAAAAUCGUCAAAGAUCAAAGGAAGACCGAAAAACUCUUUGGUUUCCUCCAUUUCGGCCACCAGCAAGGUAAGACCUCUUUCUCUUUUCUUUUAUAUUUUUUUUGUAUGUAGAAAUAAAGAAAAUAAAAAUACAGAUUGAAAGCAGUAAUCACUUUAGAAAUUUUUUGCUUUUAUUUCUCAAUGUUUUUUUUUACAUUCGUUUUUUCUUUUUCUUUUUGAAAAAUCUCCCCCUCCUUUUUUACAUUUGUUUGAUUUGGCUUUUAUAGCCGUUUUGGAUUACAGUGCAUGCUACUGUUCUAUACUGUUCUUUUCUUUUCUUCUGCUGUUCUUGUUUCUAUUUUGUGUCAUUUGCAGGUAUCGACGAAGGCGGAGUUCGCGGCUUUUUGCCGUUUUGGUGCUAGGCGGUGGCUAGGGUGUCAGGUAAGCCUUGGGACAAGGCACGGAUGGUACGCCCGAGGGAGUAGCGCACAUGGGCAGUAGGGGCUACAGCGCGAAAGGGUUAGGGAAACCCUAGGUUUUCUCUGAUUAUGUUUAAUUUUUGGGCUUAUCGGGCUUUAUUUUUUGGGCCAAUUGGACCAUUUGUAAUGGACUAUAAUUUUUAAUUUUUGGCUUGUUAUGCUGGUAUGGGCCCGGGCAAAAUAUGGGCUUUACAUUACUUUUGAAGAAAUACCUAGCAAAGCACACUAAAGUUCAAACUGUUAUCUAUUUCCAAGCCAAUCAUAAUUCUAAAU